UGGCUUUCCUAUACAGCCACCUAAAAAUAGGAUUCCCUUUAGUUUUUCAAUUUCAUUUCCGUUGUUCUUCCCAUAUGUACUUUCCAGGAGCUUUGAAUACUCCUCAGAGUAAGUAUUUUUGCUUGUUGCCUUCUUGAAUUAAGCACUUGGUAUUGAUUCCCCCCUUCCCUGCAGUGGUAAACUCCAGUGGACAGCUCUUGCUGUGGUGGAUAUAGAGAUUGCUAACACUCCUUUUCCUAUCAGAUUUCCUAUCCCGAUUUGUUGAUAGGCAUUUCUUUUUUCUGGU
rnacentral:lncRNA from 1 species